rnacentral:rRNA from 1 species
UACGUAGGGGGCUAGCGUUAUCCGGAGUUACUGGGCGUAAAGGGUGCGUAGGCGGCUUGUUAAGUCAGGUGUCAAGAUGCGGAGCUCAACUCCGCAGCGCACUUGAAACUGGCAGGCUUGAGUGCAGGAGAGGAAAGUGGAAUUCCUAGUGUAGCGGUGAAAUGCGUAGAUAUUAGGAGGAACACCAGUGGCGAAGGCGACUUUCUGGACUGCAACUGACACUGAGGCGCGAAAGCUAGGGGAGCAAACAGGAUUAGAUACCCUGGUAGUCCUAGCCGUAAACGAUGGGUACUAGGUGUUGGGGGUGACAAUCCUCCAGUGCCGCAGUUAACGCAUUAAGUACCCCGCCUGGGGACUACGGCCGCAAGGCUGAA